CUAAACACUACAGUGUCUCAUCUUUUGAAAUGCAGCCUGAGCUGAGUGUGGUGGUGCAUGCCUGCAAUCCCAGCACUGGAGGGGCUGAGGACUCUUGGAGCCAUCAAAGGAGCAAGGAGCCUCCCGGAGGAGUGAAGGCCUUCCAGGAUCGAGCCGACAUUCCCAGAGCCACACCCUCAGGUUGCUCCUGAGAUCCACAUGAUAUCCACCAGGAUGGCCUUGUACCUUAUUACCUCUGCUCUACCACACCCUCUCCACCAUGAUCUGCUUCACCUCAGGCCUAGAAACAAUGGAACCAGCCAACCACUGACUGAAAUUUC